rnacentral:lncRNA from 1 species
AACUUCAGCCUGUAACCAGCUAGCUUUCUAGAUGUAGAAGUAGCUUCGUAAUGGUGUAAUGCGCCAUGCAAACCUUUCAACAACCAUUCCAGUAUGUUCCCAGUCACCUGGAAUUACAAAUAGAAUCUACAUUAUCAUGAAGAAAAUUAUACGCAGUAUGCAUCGGAGGCAGAAAAUUUAUUCAAGCUCUGAAGUCCCAAACAACUGAAAAUGCUCCAAAACACCAUCACGUGACCCUGUAGCAGACACUACAUCUGCCUAUGAGCAAUGGACAGAACUGAGAAUACCAUAUCAUGAACCGUAGUGAACACUGCUAGCAACAUCCUGUUUUAUUGGCACACAACAGCAUCCCUCCUGAUCAAGUGAAAAGGAAUCCUAUGACACCGCUUGAUCUUUGUCUGACAUGGAAAUCUGCAAAUCAAAUAAGGUGGAAGAAUAACAUCUGGUUAAAAAAUAUAUCUGCUUUAAAGUGAUGUCAUGAACUGGACGCUGCACUCUUGAUUCCAACACUAAUAUUGUCAUGACCAAAUGUUAAAGUUCAUAUUCAGCAAGUUGAAGAUAACUGACACCAUCUUUAAGUAUAAGUUUCACAAA